CUCUACCUCUGAACGACUUCGGGGGCGCUGAAACAGAUGAUAUUCUACCGUUCUGUACGAACGGUUUUACCAUAACUCCAAACAACCCAAGAAGCGCCGCUUUAACACACAGCUACACACCCCCUGGAACCUCCAGCCAAUCGCUACAUAAUCUAGCAUUUAUGGCGCAUCGCAAUACUUUGGCACAAGUGCACCGCGCAGAAUCACCACGGCCCGAGAAGGGCGACUGGUCUGAAAACGAUUGGAUUCAAGAACAUGCUAUCUAUGGACUCCAACGAUAGCUAUACAAACCCUGCAGAAUCUACAAAUCCAGAGGAUAUUGGGAUAGGACCCGUGUUAUCCAGGAUUCCUCAGAACAGCAAGCGCCAAAAAAACGGAGACUCAUCCCAAGCGUAUACCGACAAAGAAGGCCCAAUAUGUCGAGAGGACGAGGUCGAGGAGGAAUUUGGUGCCCAGGACAUACCUAGUAAAACAUUGAAACCUGAUAAUUUCAACGCUUUAAAUGACAAUUUGGAGGUAGACGAUGUGUUGAUGUAUGAGGCGGCCAAACAGUUUGAUACAGCCAAUUAUGAGGUAGAAACAACAGAUCCUGAAAUAGAUCAAGAUAGGUUUCUCACAGCCUUUUACAGGGCGCUAAAAGCCAGAGAGGUUCAGCUACACAAACGUAUGGUUGCUUUAUUAAAGCGUCAAUACAGUCAAGAUCUAUCCUUCUGGCAUAGAACAAUGCCCCGCUUGUUAAACAACAAUCUGAUUAAAAAAAGCCCAAACAAGCGCUAAAAACCUGUAUGUAACAUGGAUCCUUCUAGAAUACCACCAGAACUCAUAUCCUUAAUUAACCAAAUGAAUGAGACAGGGCCAACAUCUCCAUCAAUAAUUCAGACAGAUGAAAACCUGUUAUCACAGAUACCAGCAGAACUCAUAUCCUUAAUUAACCAAAUGAAUGAGACAGGGCCAACAUCUCCAUCAAUAAUUCAGACAGAUGAAAACGUGUUAUCACAGAUACCAGCAGAACUCAUAUCCUUAAUUAACCAAAUGACUGAGAGCACAACAUCUUCAACACCCUCCCACACACACGCACACCUCCUUUAACUCCUAUGUCCGAGGAGUCUGAGCAACCACACAAUGUUUUUGAGGAAUUGGAAAAUUGUGUAAUAAAUCAGAGUGGCGAUGGUAUUGAUAGAAGUGUUCGUGUUGUGUACCGAAAUAAAUUCAGCAAUACAGAGAUUA